ACCGCUGUCACCGAUUAAAAGGAGCUUUAUGAGGUAGUCAUAAUCGGCUCGAGCUCUUGCAGGUGGAGCAGCCAUGGAAAUAGAAGAAAUUUAUCGAAAACAAACCCUACAAUAAAAAAAGAAAAUGAACGUCAAAACCA